UACAGAGGUCUCAAGCGUUGUUCGGAUUCAUUGGGCGUAAAGGGUGCGUAGGCGGCGCGGUAAGUCGGGUGUGAAAUCUCGGGGCUUAACCCCGGGUCUGCAUUCGAUACGGGCAGGCUAGAGUUCGGUAGGGGAGAUCGGAAUUCCUGGUGUAGCGGUGAAAUGCGCAGAUAUCAGGAGGAACACCGGUGGCGAAGGCGGAUCUCUGGGCCGAUACUGACGCUGAGGCGCGAAAGCGUGGGGAGCGAACAGG
rnacentral:rRNA from 1 species